CGGCAACAGCUCAAAUUUGAAAUCUGGCCCUAGGCCCGAGUUGUAAUUUGCAGAGGAUGCUUUUGGUGAGGUGCCUUCCGAGUUCCCUGGAACGGGACGCCAUAGAGGGUGAGAGCCCCGUCU
rnacentral:rRNA from 1 species